UUAUUUUGGUUUCUCCUCAGAGUGAAUAAAUCUGUUGCCUUUUAUUAAAGAUUUCCAUGAACAGGCAUAGAUGGAGUUAGUUAGCAAAUUUUUUUGAAGUCUUACUUGAGCAGGGCC
rnacentral:snRNA from 1 species